GGGGAAUUUAUUCGUUGUGACUUGCUGCUACUGCAGUCGAGCGAGCUUGCCUAGAUGAUUUUAGUGCUUGCACUAAAUGAAACUAGAUACAAGCGAGCGGCGGACGGGUGAGUAACACGUGGGUAACCUGCCCAAGAGACUGGGAUAACACCUGGAAACAGAUGCUAAUACCGGAUAACAACACUAGACGCAUGUCUAGAGUUUGAAAGAUGGUUCUGCUAUCACUCUUGGAUGGACCUGCGGUGCAUUAGCUAGUUGGUAAGGUAACGGCUUACCAAGGCAAUGAUGCAUAGCCGAGUUGAGAGACUGAUCGGCCACAUUGGGACUGAGACACGGCCCAAACUCCUACGGGAGGCAGCAGUAGGGAAUCUUCCACAAUGGACGAAAGUCUGAUGGAGCAACGCCGCGUGAGUGAAGAAGGGUUUCGGCUCGUAAAGCUCUGUUGGUAGUGAAGAAAGAUAGAGGUAGUAACUGGCCUUUAUUUGACGGUAAUUACUUAGAAAGUCACGGCUAACUACGUGCCAGCAGCCGCGGUAAUACGUAGGUGGCAAGCGUUGUCCGGAUUUAUUGGGCGUAAAGCGAGUGCAGGCGGUUCAAUAAGUCUGAUGUGAAAGCCUUCGGCUCAACCGGAGAAUUGCAUCAGAAACUGUUGAACUUGAGUGCAGAAGAGGAGAGUGGAACUCCAUGUGUAGCGGUGGAAUGCGUAGAUAUAUGGAAGAACACCAGUGGCGAAGGCGGCUCUCUGGUCUG
rnacentral:rRNA from 1 species